UGAAGGUAUUUUUGUAGAUGUGGUUAACAUCUAUAUUCCGUUGACUUUAAGUGAAGAAGUUACCCCUCGAUAAUGUAGGUGGGCUUCAUCCAAUCAGUUGAAAGCCUUCAGAGCAAAAACUGAGGCUUCCUGGAGAAGAAAUACUGCUUUAAGCCUACAGCUUCUAACCUGCCAACCUGUGCUACAGAUUUCAGGCUCGCCAAAUACUGCAAUCAGAAAAAGCAGCUGAGAAUCUCUGGUUUGUUUUGAUGCUUGCAAGAGAGAAGCUAUUUGAAAUGCUUGGGAUCCCAUGAAGACUGACUCCCUCUUCUUGGUGUAUUCAAGAUUCAGAGUCAAAGAUUGGGGUUUGGAGAAUCCUAUGACAAAUUCUGAAGUCUAAGAGUCUUAUUUGGCUAUUUGGGGCCCCUUGCAAUUCCAUAUAUCUUAGGAUCAGCAUUUCUAUUUCCACAAAAGAAACUGGGAUAUUGAUAGAGAUCACAUUGAAUCUGUACAGCACUUUGGUGGAUUAUUUACCACAGACCCACCAGGAAAGCCUCCUCUCUCUCUGGGACCCUCAUGUGUGUGUUGGUAGAGUUGAUGGAGUCCUUAAUAAUCGGUUCUGAGGCUUGGAGAAGAUAAGGUGAAUUAAAGGAGGGGGUGAGAUGCCUUGGGAGAUGGAAAAGGGAAGCCAACCAGGCCAGCCAUCUCCUGGGUCACUCACGGUGCUAGAAGACAUCUGCCUUCACCCACCGUCCCGUGAGCACGUGGCUGUCAGGCUGGAGAAGACUGACUCCUGCUUCCAUGCGGUGGAACUGCUCACACCUCUGUGUGCCCCAGAAUCACACUGGAUGCUUGAGUUUCAUGCUGUCAGACCAGACGAGAAGAGGCUGAUUCACAGAACCCCGUAGGCCGCUGGAGGACUCUGGUUUUACUCUGCGUGAGAUGGUCAGCUUUUGGAAGGCUCUGAAAGAAGUGGCCUGAACUGUCCUGAAGGCCACUCUGGCUGCUGGGCGGAUAACAGAUAACACAGCAGGAGGAGGACAGAAGCAUGGAUACCAGUCAGGAGCCGACCGCGAUCAUCCAGAUGGUAGAUGACCUACCAAGAAGAUCAGGCAGCCUAACUCAUGGGAGUUGGCCUCAACUGUGGGAACAGCCUCGGAUGCCUUUUGGGAUCAGGAGUACAGCCUUUUGGUGACUUGCUUUGCUGGGACUAAAUCUCAACCAGGGACAUUUGGAAAUGUUUGCAAACAUUUUCAUGAAUGGGAGGCAUGGGGGAGGAGGUGGCUACUGGCCUCUAGAAGUCACGGAUGCUGCUAAUAUCCAGAAUAUGUAGGCCAGUCUCACCUCCCUCACAAAAGAAUUGUUUAGUUGCUCAGUUGUGUCUGACUCUUUGCGACCCCAAGGACUAUAGCCCACCAGUCUCCUCUGUCCAUGGGAUUUCCCAGGCCAGAAUACUGGAGUGGAUUGCCAUUUCCUUCUUUGGGGGAUCUUCAGGACCCAGGGAUCAAACCCGCAUCCUGCAUUGGCAGGCAGAUUAUUUACCACUGAGCCACCAGAGAAGCCCCCACAAAAGAAUUAACUGGUCCAAAAUGUAGAUAAUCCCCAAGACGAGAGACCAUGAGAAGAAGAAAGGAAAGGUAAAAUUGCCAUCCCAAACUCCAACAAUGUCAUAAACAAAAUUGGUGGUUUGAGAAGGAAAAUGUCCACACUCUAAUAAAUGUGAUGGGCCCUGGAAGGACCUCCUGAUGGAGCUCAUAAAAAGAUACUCAGGAACACAAGUAUGCACUGCUUUAGGUUUAUUUACCAAAACGACCCUUCUUGGAGGCGAUGAUCAUCCUGCUGUCUUCACUGAAGGGUGUGGGAAUGCCUUUUCUUCGGGCUAAAGAUUGUGUUUGCCUAGACUGGGAUGGGGUGUUCUAGGAGCAGGGCAAGUCUGUCUGAAGAUGUUUUACUCUGGGAAAAUUAAUGAGCCAGACAAUGCAAAGGAAAAGAGACAAACUGUUCUUUUGGUUCCAAAUAAAUGCUUGUUUUCUGCCACU